GUUUCGGAAGGGUGGUGUUUCGCAAUGGAGGUGUGUCGGAAUGUCACGGCGCCCCCGGGUUGGUUAUGAACCCGGCCCAGCCAUUGUCGAGAGGACGUCUGCGCGGACGGGAGGAGCUUUGCCGGAUCGCCACGAAGAAUGUUGCCGACGGACGGAGCUUCGCUGCCGCAGAGGGACACGGAGGUUUAUCGCUGCAAGCAUUUGUUUUCACAGACUAACCUCGCCUCAUAACAAGGCUGCGACCUCCUGUUUGCUCGGAGCCACGUCUGCAAGUCCAGAUUUACACGAUGCUGAUAAUGACGCCAUUGUGUCUGCCUGUAAGACAUUACGAGACAGUACGCAGGACAACAAGUAAGCAGAUUUUGCAUCGCAGGCAGACGCUGUGAGGAGUUCAGCUCGGAGUCGAUCGAGGACAAAGAGGGUAAGAUUUAUUAGACUGGAUCCGUCUUUGGUCAAUGUGACUAUUAUUCUAUUAAAUAAUAGAUGUGUUGUAUCCAUACGCAGUGCAUCGCGCAGUACUGAUCGGCUUUAUUGAUUGUUUUUACAGCUGCUGGAAGCGACACAGAGUGCUAGCUGAGGAUGAGGUGGACCUUUUGAAGUGUGCCGCCAUGGACCUGAUGUCUGAGGAGGAAGAUGGCACAAGAUGGCGGGGUGUCUGAAUGAAUUGUGCGACCUCCGUCCUUUCGCAGCCGGGAGCUCACCGAGCUCUGCCCCACACUGCUGUCACAUGAGAGGCGAUUCCGAAGUACAGGGCAGCGCACCACAGACGUCUGCAGAAACAGACACUUCGCAGUGUUGUAGGAUUUUGGGCCUCUUGUGAGCUUCCCGUUUGUUGUGUGGGCAGAUUAUGCUUUGUACAUGCUGUGUGUUUUUGUUUGUGCUAAUAAAACUCUUUCUUUGAAUAAACAACACCUUUCUGGCAAAUGUUCCUUUCCUCAGUAAAUUCAUUCAUGUCCUUGAUGAUAUCAUAAAUAUAAAUGAAUGAAUAAUUAAUAUAUAUAAAUAUAUAUAUAUAUAUUA
rnacentral:lncRNA from 1 species